UACCAGACACCAUCUCCAGCUCUCUGACUCUAGAGGAACUCUCUCUGAUUAGGAUUCAGUAUGGGGUUCCUCUGGAGUAUGAGCUGGAGCUUCUCAGGCCGACUGGUUGGGCUAGCGCUUCUCCCCCUGGCUGCUUUUGUUUAUACCAAGAAGCUUUCCGUGUCGGGCUUCGACUUUCACUUCCACCUUUUGUUAUUGCUCUCUUCCACUUCUUAAACAUUUCUUUAG
rnacentral:lncRNA from 1 species